rnacentral:rRNA from 1 species
CGUGCCUAAUACAUGCAAGUCGAACGAAGCUUUCUUUCACCGAAUGCUUGCAUUCACCGAAAGAAGCUUAGUGGCGAACGGGUGAGUAACACGUAGGCAACCUGCCCAAAAGAGGGGGAUAACACUUGGAAACAGGUGCUAAUACCGCAUAACCAUGAACACCGCAUGAUGUUCAUGUAAAAGACGGCUUUUGCUGUCGCUUUUGGAUGGGCCUGCGGCGUAUUAACUUGUUGGUGGGGUAACGGCCUACCAAGGUGAUGAUACGUAGCCGAACUGAGAGGUUGAUCGGCCACAUUGGGACUGAGACACGGCCCAAACUCCUACGGGAGGCAGCAGUAGGGAAUCUUCCACAAUGGACGAAAGUCUGAUGGAGCAACGCCGCGUGAAUGAAGAAGGCCUUCGGGUCGUAAAAUUCUGUUGUCAGAGAAGAACGUGCGUGAGAGUAACUGUUCACGUAUUGACGGUAUCUGACCAGAAAGCCACGGCUAACUACGUGCCAGCAGCCGCGGUAAUACGUAGGUGGCGAGCGUUGUCCGGAUUUAUUGGGCGUAAAGGGAACGCAGGCGGUCUUUUAAGUCUGAUGUGAAAGCCUUCGGCUUAACCGAAGUAGUGCAUUGGAAACUGGAAGACUUGAGUGCAGAAGAGGAGAGUGGAACUCCAUGUGUAGCGGUGAAAUGCGUAGAUAUAUGGAAGAACACCAGUGGCGAAAGCGGCUCUCUGGUCUGUAACUGACGCUGAGGUUCGAAAGCGUGGGUAGCAAACAGGAUUAGAUACCCUGGUAGUCCACGCCGUAAACGAUGAGUGCUAAGUGUUGGAGGGUUUCCGCCCUUCAGUGCUGCAGCUAACGCAUUAAGCACUCCGCCUGGGGAGUACGGUCGCAAGACUGAAACUCAAAGGAAUUGACGGGGGCCCGCACAA